rnacentral:rRNA from 1 species
GACAGAGGGUGCAAGCAUUGCUCGGAAUUAUUGGGCGUAAAGGGUACGUAGGCUGGUAUGUAAGUUUGUGGUGAAAUCUCGAAAGGUAAAUUCGAAACUGCUGCAAAUACUGCAUAUCUAGAGAAUGGGAGAGGUAGAUGGAAUUUCUGUAGGAGGGGUCAAAUCCGACGAUCACAGAAGGAACACCAAAGGCGAAGGCAAUCUACUGGAACAUUUCUGACGCUGAGGUACGAAAGCGUGGGGAGCAAACAGG